UACGGAGGAGGCAAGCGUUAUCCGGAAUUAUUGGGCGUAAGGCGUCCGUAGGUGGCACUUCAAGUCUGUCGUCAAAGACUGGGGCUUAACCCCGGAAAGGCGGUGGAAACUGAAGCGCUAGAGUGCGGUAGGGGUAGAGGGAAUUCCCGGUGUAGCGGUGAAAUGCGUAGAGAUCGGGAAGAACAUCGGUGGCGAAAGCGCUCUACUGGACCGCAACUGACACUCAGGGACGAAAGCUAGGGGAGCGAAUGGG
rnacentral:rRNA from 1 species